AGUGAACGCUGGCGGUAGGCCUAACACAUGCAAGUCGAACGGCAGCACAGUAAGUGCUUGCUCUUACGGGUGGCGAGUGGCGGACGGGUGAGGAAUACAUCGGACUCUACUUUUUCGUGGGUGAUAACGUAGGGAAACUUACGCUAAUACCGCAUACGACCUACGGGUGAAAGCAGGGGAUCUUCGGACCUGUUGCGAUUGAAUGAGCCGAUGUCGGAUUAGCUAGUUGGCGGGGUAAAGGCCCACCUAGGCGACGAUCCGUAGCUGGUCCGAGAGGAUGAUCCGCCACACUGGAACUGAGACACGGUCCCGACUCCUACGGGAGGCACCAGUGGGGAAUAUUGGACAAUGGGCGCAAGCCUGAUCCAGCCAUACCGCGUGGGUGAAGAAGGACUUCGGGUUGUAGAGCCCUUUUGUUGGGAAAGAAAAGCAGCAGGUUUAUACCCCACUGUUCUGACGGUACCCAAAGAAUAAGCACCGGCUAACUUCGUG
rnacentral:rRNA from 1 species